CGCUGCCUCCUGAGGUGAGCCUCGCCGUCACUUUCUCUUGGUGCGAUUCAGGGUGGACACGGUCCAGGCCGGUCCGGUCCCGGUCCGAGCCGCCGUUUGGACCGGACGCCGGCGGUCCGGGCCGGACCGGACCGAGCUGUGCAGCGGUCCUGAUUACAGGGACCGGACCGGCUGGCAUGAAGCUCGGUGCGGACCGGCGGUCCUGGCGGUCCUGGCGCCGUCCAGUCACUGCCAUGUGGGCCCAGGACAUCGGAGUGGUGGUCGGAGUAGCAACACGGUGGCCGGAGCCGGAGAAGAAGCACCUGAUGCACGGUGGCGCGAGAGAAAGGCACGGGAGAGAGAGGGAGCAGCAUGGCGCGAGGCAGAGGCGUGGUGGCGCGAGGGGACGACGGCGAGAGGUAGAGGCGCGGCGGCGCGAGGUUGUGCCGGGAGAGGAAGUCGAGGAAGACGGCGGCGCAGGGGAGGAAGAGGGGCUGCGCAGGGGAGGAAGAGGGACGGCGCGUGCGAGGAAGAGGAGGCAGUGGCAGUUCGCUAGGUCACGCACGCCCCUCUUAUUAGCUUUAUUGGGCUGGGCUCUUCUGAUUAGCUUUAUUGGGCUGGGCCUUCGGUCCUCCGAGCCGUACCGAGCUUUAACCGGACCGGACCGACCGAAUUUCGGUCUCGUUUUCACGGACCGGACCGGCCAUAUUAUCUAGCGAGCCAGGCCCGUACGGUCCGGUCCAUAACGGGCCGCGGUCCAGGCCAGAAGCCCGCUCGUCCCGUCCACCCUGAGGUGCGAUGCUGCGUGUACAAUAGCCGGCGAGGUCUGUAUCUUGCGUCAAGAGUAGCGGCGUGGGGAUCUUCAGGAGGUCCAUCGACAGCAAUACACAGCUGCAGGAAUGACAACAGGUGGACUAGCUCAACGUGAGGGUGACCAUGGGCAAGGCCGCAAGGGGUGCUGUGGCUGCUCGAGGUCUGGUGGUCAUGACAGGGGGCGAUGUGGCUGUCAAGGUCUGGUUCGUUUUUGACGCCGCAGAAGUCGUCCAUGUCACUCCGAUCGGCUAACCGGCUGAUCCCACGGCCACGGGUGAGGCGAAAUCUCCCUAUUAUACCUGCAAAUCUUUUGCGUCCUCUAUUCACUGAUUAGUAUGGGCGAGCUGAUUGUGAUGGUCAUACUUGGGUGCAGAGUGCAGGCUCCUACUCCAGGCUUCGAUCUAGAAACAAUUUCCCUGGGUGAAUGUAGGGAUGUACUAUGUAGUGUGAUUAAUUCGUUCAAGCUUUGUGUUCUUGAUUUUUCAUAAAAUUACGAAGUCUGCCUGUGUGAUUUGAGUGAAAUUUGUUGGUUGGGACAGGUUUACUUAGUCCUGCAACUUAGUUCUGCAUUAUGGAAGGUUUACUUAGUCCUGCAAAUUCGUCAAGUCUGAAUAUACAAGGUGGCUUACAUGUGAGUUCUUGCCCUGUUCAUGAUGGAACUAUGUAUCUCCAUUAACUGCGUGGGCUGCACUUAUCUGAAGUUUGUAUCUACCUCUUUGCUCACGAUUUGUUCGAUCAAAUUUUGUAUAAAUACCUAGAUUGUAUGAAUGAAUUUAUGUGAUUUUCCCUGGAAUUUAUGAAUACAUUUUUUGCAGAAUUGGACUGAUAUAAAUUAUUUGAAUUUGGAUUACUGAUUCUUUCUCAAAUAUUUCAGUCCCUGCAGCAACAUCAGUGUUAUUUGACAGAAUUGCAUCAGCCCUGAAGGGUUUGGAAACAUCGAUCCCUGCCAUUAUAAACAGAACAUGUUGCGUUCUCGCUGCAUAGUAUUAGAAGGACUCAUGUAUGAAGUAUCUAUUUUAAAGAAAUUAAACCUAUCUUUGGAAUUUUGAUUCCCAGGUCUGAAUUCAGAUCUAUAUAUUUUUAUCUUCUUGUAAUGGUUUGCCUCCUGCAAUCAUUUGUUUGCCUUUAUCUGCAUCCGCAUGAAGAUUAAAAAUGGAAGAGAAAUCAAUGAACUAUAUUGUUCCGCCGUACAUAGGCCGGAAAGAUUUGAUGUAUGUAUAGCGUAUUUUUAAGGCAUGGCCAUCUCAGCAAUAAUCAGUACAUUAUAGGAUUGUCACCAAAGAUGUGAAAUCAAGGUCAUGUAGAUAGUCAUGCUUAGCAGAUUGUUUAUAUUCGGAAGGAAAGAAGACAGAAACAGUAACAGACCAUGUAUUUUUAUCAGCGAAUUCAGCUUAGUUAGCUUUGCUUGAUAUUGGUUUGCAAAAUCUAACUCUCUUAACUCCUCUUUUAAGUGAGGGUUUGCUCUGCUCUAUAAUUUUCUUCCAUUUUCCAAUACAAAUUGUGUUUAAAUGAUACGUGGCAUUGCGAAUUAUGACCAACUAGCUACGGUUUAGUAUGGUAUGGUUUUGUUCUGGCUCAUUUCAUUGACUGUGGUUGGUUGUUAUCAUUUUAUACCCACAUUUUCAAACCUUAGAGAAAGGGAUGGCAACAAAGCUUCAUAUUUCAGCUACUGAUAUCAUAGUGUGCAUGUUAUGGGCACAACUAAGUCUUCUUGCAUGUUGCAGUAAUGUACAGUUGGACGUUAAGCUAAUUUUCUUUUUUGCAGGUUAAGCUAAUAGCUUCAUAGAUGAAAUUUUGUCUAUCUUGUUGUAUAAAUUAUAGCAUCGUGUAGGCCGAUAGCUGAAAUUUAGUCUACCUUGCACUAUAAUUUUUGGCAUAGUGCAAUUCAUCUUGCUGCAUAAAUUAUCUUCACUAUAAAUUCUGGCAUAGUACAGUCCAUCUUGCUGUAUAAAUUUUGGUACAGUGCAGACAAGGCAUGAGAAAAUGGCUUGCCGAGCCAACACCGGCAACACUGCACCAUGAGGAUGGUCGGUGGGCACCAUCAAACAAAUCUCAAUAGUGUUAUCUUGCAUUCGUACGAGCAUCGGUCCGGCCUUUUUAAAUACGAACAACAAAUCGCUGCAUUUUACGAGCCUUUUUCUGGUUUAUUCUUAUUGCUUGAGAAUUUUAAGGAGCAUUGUGGGUUUCUCUGCCCAUAAGGAGGAAACUACAUUUUGUAUGUGAUGCAUGUUUGGCUGAAAUCCCCCCUUCUACCUUUUGCAGAGCUCUCACAAAUCAAGUAAGUUACGAAGUGGCCUGAAUGUCUAGAUUCUAGCUUGCUUUGAAUUUAUGAAUUAUCGCUGCUAUAUUGUUAUCUCGGGAUAGUGAAACAGUCGAGUUGUACUACUUGCAGGGGAUUUCUGCAUACAGUUCAUCCAUUCAGUAAAGGCAUAUGCAGAAAUAUCUAUCACUUUGACUUCACCACGAAAUUAAUUUGUUCUGGAAGCCGUAGGUACCCUUACUCGAGGAGCUGGAAGCCAGAGAAGCUCUGUACCAAUUUUAGUGCUGGUGUUAUUGAUCUGUGUGUUGCUGUGCCAUUCUUCAGCCCUAGCAUGUGUUGUCAUCCAUUGUUCAAACUUUUUCUUCCACUGGAAGCAUGUCUUUCAUGAACUGCACCAAUAAAUGUACAUUGAAUUUAUCAAUGUCUAUAUGUAGUUUAUCCUUUCUCCUUGACGCGCUUAGAAUUUACGUAAAUAUUUACGCGCUCAGAAUUUUUAAAACUGAAACACCGAUUAUGCGGGGGGAGGGGGACAAUGGCCCCCUUAGCCCUUGCCUUAGUCAACUUCCCCAUGCUCCAUUGUUUUGCCAACAAUGAUACUAUCUCUAAUGUUUGCUUUAUUGCAGGCUAAACGUCCUUCUGCUAUCGAUUCCUUUCACAAAAUCACAACCAACUGGCAGGGCAAGACGAUAGCUUCUUGGACUACGACGGAACACUGUCGCCAAUAGUAGAUAAUCCUGACGAGGCAUACAUGUCCAACGAGGUAAGUAUAACGAAAAGAAAAAUUCUUGCAUGUUCCUUGAUAUUUGUAGAUCUUUCUUAUCCCUGGAACAUAUAAUCAGAUGCAUGAACUUGUUCAAGAAAUUGCCUCCUUGUGCCCCACUUCAGUCGUCAGUGGAAGGGCCUGCGAUAAGGUAUUACGUAUCUAGUAGCCUUUUAAUUUGGAUGUUCUAUACAUUUGUAAUUAGUGACUCACUUGUUUUGCUAUUCAUCUGUUGACAGAAAAUUUCAAAAUGAUCGAAAACCUGCACUAUGCAGGGAGCCACGGAGCAGAAAUCAAACUCCUAAGCCAUUAUUAAAUUUAGAAAUGUCUAUAUGUAGUUUAUCCUUUCUCUUUGACAUGCUCAGAAUUUAUGUGAAUAUUUAACCUGCAGAGUGAUGAAACAGAAACCCACGAGCCUACCAACGAGUACGUACCUGUUAUAAAUCAGAUAUAGAAUAUAACGAAUUAUAAUAAUCCACAUAUCUAUCUUUUUAACAACUAUUUUGCUGCUUCCUACUAUUCUGUCCAUAAGUAAAACUCAGUUCUGCCUAGCCCUUGCCUUAGUCAAUUCUUCCCCAUGCUCAAUUCUUUUGCAAAAAAACUACCUGCAAACCACAUGUUGCGGUUUGCAAAGAAGCCCUUCUUAAUUGUCUAUCCUCAAAUAAUUAAAAAAAUUAGGCGAGGUUUUGUGCGGUUUGCAAAGAAGCCCUUAAGGUGAGAUGAACUUAUGUUUCAAAUAAUUACAAAAAAAUGUAGUUACACAGGUUCUCGAAGACAUAUGCUGGAAGGAAAUGUUGUGUGAGAAGCGACGUAUUCCAAGAGCCAUCGACAUUCAGGAGAUCUGCCAUCCAUUUUAGUCUGCAUCGACGUUUUUGUGUGAUCGGCCUAAAGGAGGGUUCCCUUGGGAUCCAAGGAUCAUUGCCAUAUGUGUAUGUUUUCUUCAGUGCCAACAUGCCAGACGCACCCCUGCUUAGCUAGCUCUAACCCAUAUUCAAUGGUUGCACAUGUCGACGAACCAUUCCCUGUGAAGAUUGUGUCAAUAAUGGAUCCAGACAGAUAGUACUUGGCUCAUAGGACCCGUGGACAUAGGCUCUCCAAAACUAUGUGCAAGCAAGGCCUUGAUUGAACAACCUCAAAUUUUUGCACAAGCUCCUACAAAUUUUGCAUCCAGCUCAUGUAUGUACUCGCUCAAGUCCUUUUUACUCAACGUAUAAGAUUUGUCUUAAGUUAAACUCCGUAAAGUUUGACCAUGUUUGUGUAAAAAAAUACCAACAUCUAUAAUACUAAAAUUCUAAAGUUAUACAUUAUGAAAAUUAAAUUCAUGGCGCAUCUAACUAUAUUGGUUUCAUAUUAGAAUGUUGUUAUCUUUUCAAUAAAGUUGGUCAAACUUUACUAAAUUUGAUUUUAGAUGAAACUUAUAUGCGGAGUAAAAUGGACCGGAGGGAGUAUAUAUACUCCAAUAAAUUUCCAUCGGCUCAUAAUAUUUGAAACUAUCAGCUGAGCAUGACGGGAGCAUGUAUCACAUAUAUUUGAGACCAAUGAUGCUGUGAUUACCUCAUGCCCAAAUAUUUUUUGCCUAGAAUUCAUGUACUUUUAACAGGAAAAGUUCGCCGAAGUUGGUCAAUCUCUCUUAAUCAAUCCUUUAAAAAAUUGGUAUAUAACCCUGCACUUCGAUCAUAACAACCUCUUGCAUCCGUACUUCGCAUAGCAUGAUCCACUUGAAGCAAGAAGAAAAAUCCUAAACGCAUAUAAAAAAAAGAAAAAAACCUACUCCUUCCGUCUCAUAAUGUAAGACGUUUUUUGACACUAGUGUAGUGUCAAAAUAUAUCUUACAUUAUAGGACACAGGGAGUAAUUCUAAAUAUACUACACCUAGCUAGGUUUGAUUUAUCUGGAUUUGACUUUUUUCUAUCAGUGGAAAACAGACCAAUGGGAAGGCGACACGUUAUUUACUGGGGAUCUGUUGGGAUAUGUUUUGGAGUGCCUUUAGCGAUUUGGUAGAGCUGCAGUUGCUGGAUUGGUUUCGCCCAUCUCUCUUAAUCCUUUACACGUGCGGACGAUGCGUCUUCAUCUUUGGAAGACUUUCGUGAAAUCCCGUUGGUUCCUAUUUCAUACCUCUCAAUUCUUGCCGCGUGUCCAUCCCGAAGACUCUCGUGGGAUCAUGACCACCACCGCUUGCCGUUGUUCCACCGCCGUAUGGGCUAAUAAAAAGGCUACCCUCCCUCGCCAUCCGCCUCGCCCACUCUCGAGCUGUGGUCUUCCAAAGUCGGGCGGCGCACCAGCCGCUCUCCUUGAUCUCGCCGGUUGCGGUGCCUCGCCGAUGUGCAGGGCCAAGGACGUGCCGAUGCAUCGAGAUGCCCCUCGCCCAGCCUACUGGCGCUCCGUCGACGCACCUGGCUCCUCCUCGACGCCUCAAGCCGUCCCGCGCCGCAUGUGUCUAGGUCUCGUGCCCGUCCAGGCCACCAGCAUGCUGCCGUCCCACGCUCUACCGGAGCCCUCUGCCCGUCGUCAUCGUGGCAAGCUGCCGCCUCUACUAGGAUAGCGCAGAAGCCGACGCGAGGAGGCGCCCCAUCUCCCCGUUGCUCUGCCUUCGUGUCAAGGCGAUGGAGAUGUGCGAGAGCUGAGAGGGAUGGGAGGAGGAGCGGCCACGGUGAAGUGGCCGAAGGAGGUGCUGGCAUGGCGGCGGCGUGGGGAGCGAUUGGAGGCGCGCGGGCCUCACCGCUGCCUCCUGAGGUGAGCCUCGCCGUCACUUUCUCUUGGUGCGAUGCUGCAUGUACAAUAGCCGGCGAGGUCUGUAUCUUGCGUCAAGAGUAGCGCUUGGGGAUCUUCAGGAGGUCCAUCGACAGCAAUACACAGCUGCAGGAAUGACAACAGGUGGACUAGCUCAACGUGAGGGUGACCAUGGGCAAGGGGUGCUGUGGCUGCUCGAGGUCUGGUGGUCAUGACAGGGGGCGAUGUGACUGUCAAGGUCUGGUUCGUUUUUGACGCCGCAGAGGUCGUCCGUGUCACUCCGAUCGGCUAACCGGCUGAUCCCACGGCCACGGGUGAGGCGAAAUCUCCCUAUUAUACCUGCAAAUCUUUUGCGUCCUCUAUUCACUGAUUAGUAUGCGGCGAGCUGAUUGUGAUGGUCAUACUUGGGUGCAGAGUGCAGGCUCCUACUUCAGGCUUCGAUCUAGAAACAAUUUCCCUGGGUGAAUGUAGGGAUGUACUAUGUAGUGUGAUUAAUUCGUUCAAGCUUUGUGUUCUUGAUUUUUCAUAAAAUUACGAAGUCUGCCUGUGUGAUUUGAGUGAAAUUUGUUGGUUGGGACAGGUUUACUUAGGCCUGCAACUUAGUUCUGCAUUAUGGAAGGUUUACUUAGUCCUGCAAAUUCGUCAAGUCUGAAUAUACAAGGUGGCUUACAUGUGAGUUCUUGCCCUGUUCAUGAUGGAACUAUGUAUCUCCAUUAACUGCGUGGGCUGCACUUAUUUGAAGUUUGUAUCUACCUCUUUGCUCACGAUUUGUUCGAUCAAAUUUUGUAUAAAUACCUAGAUUGUAUGAAUGAAUUUAUGUGAUUCUCCCUGGAAUUUAUGAAUACAUUUUUUGCAGAAUUGGACUGAUAUAAAUUAUUUGAAUUUGGAUUACUGAUUCUUUCUCAAAUAUUUCAGUCCCUGCAGCAACAGCAGUGUUAUUUGACAGAAUUGCAUCAGCCCUGAAGGGUUUGGAAACAUCGAUUCCUGCCAUUAUAAACAAAACAAUGUUGCGUUCUCGCUGCAUAGUAUUAGAAGGACUCAU
rnacentral:lncRNA from 1 species